AGAUCCUAAAUGCCCAGGAGAUAUCGAUUUUCAUAAUAGUGACUGGGACAUUAAGACAAUCACCAGCUCCUUGAAAUUCUACCUCAGGAAUCUUUCUGAACCUGUCAUGACCUAUAGACUUCACAAAGAGCUGGUCUCUGCUGCCAAGUCUGACAACCUGGAUUAUCGAUUGGGAGCUAUUCACUCCCUGGUAUAUAAGCUACCAGAAAAGAACCGAGAGAUGUUGGAACUUCUUAUAAGACACUUGGUCAAGUAAGUAACCUCUAGGUUUUCAGGA